GGCAGAAGACGCGCAAGAGGCCACAGAGCUUGUACACGUGGACGGAGGGUCUGUCCAGGUUCCAGUGUCCCAGAGCGGUACCUGCACAAGAUAAGGGCCCCUGCUGACCAUGGAACUGAAGAAAACCUUUUCAACGACAGGGACUGUGUUCCUUUGGCACGAAGCAGUCAGAAGCACAUGGUAAUUGCACUUCCCGGGAGGCAGGCCACCCUGGGAGCAUGCCGAACUGUAUGCUGCGGCCUGGGACCGAGCAAUUUCUGCAGCUGUCCGCUGAGGCAUCUGGAGGAAGCAGAAGAAUGGAUCAGUCACCUGGAAGACAGAGUAAUGGAAAGCAACCAAGCUGAACAACAACAAAAUAAAAAAUGAGAAUAGGUUAAGGGAAUCAGCAACACAACAAACCAUAACAAUAUUCAAAUUAUUGUGAUCCCAGAAGGAGAAGAGAAAGGGGGAUACAAAAUUUAUUGGAAAAAUUAAUAGCCAAAAACUUCUCUAAUCUGGAAAAGGAAACAGACAACCAGAUCUAGGAGGCAUAGUGCGCCCUAAAGAAGGUGACCCAAGAAGGUAAACACUGAGACACAUUUCAAAUGGCAAAAAGUAGUGGCAAAGAAUUAUAAAAGCAGCAAAGGAAAAUGGUUACGUACAAAGGAAACCCCAUAUAACUAUUGGCUCAUUGUCCAGCAUAAACCUUGCAGGCCAGAAGGGAGUGGGAUGAUAUAUUCAAAGGGUGGAAAGGAAAAAAACCUCCAAGAAUACUCUACCCAGCAAAGGGUAUCAUUCAGAAUAGGAGAUGAAGAGUUUGCCAAACAAAAUUUAGAGGACUUCCAUCACC